GCCUGGGUGGCUCAGUCGGUUAAGCAUCUGACUUCAGCUCAGGUCAUGAUUUUGUGGUUCAUCAGUUUGAGCCUGAUGUCGGGCU
rnacentral:tRNA from 1 species